UGGCGGACGGGUGAGUAAUGUCUGGGAAACUGCCUGAUGGAGGGGGAUAACUACUGGAAACGGUAGCUAAUACCGCAUAACGUCGCAAGACCAAAGAGGGGGACCUUCGGGCCUCUUGCCAUCGGAUGUGCCCAGAUGGGAUUAGCUAGUAGGUGGGGUAACGGCUCACCUAGGCGACGAUCCCUAGCUGGUCUGAGAGGAUGACCAGCCACCCUGGAACUGAGACACGGUCCAG
rnacentral:rRNA from 1 species